rnacentral:sRNA from 1 species
AUUGGUAGUAAAGGUGGGACCGGUAGCCUUGGGAAGGCAGGCGUUGUGCUUGUUUCGUUUCCUGUUGUCAGGUUUUCGACGAGAGCGUUCACAGGUGCCUGUAAAAAGGCGACCUGCCGGUUGAUAUGAGGUGAGACGUCUAUCGAGGCGAAAUCCAGACGAGUUCUCGGAGUAGGAUCGGCCGGGGAGACGGUACCUGUCAGAUCUAUGGGGACCUAGGCAGAAAUCCCAGUUUCGCGAGGGGGAACCUCCUUACCCGCGGAUCGCGCUCUACCUAAUGUGCCAUGCGAGUGGAAUCGCGUCUCUGCUGACCCACAAUUGCGGCGAGGUUGCGAUGCGCAAUUUCUUGGUUUUUGGUUAAGUUGAUCAAGUUCAUGAUCAUUACGCAGAGCUCGGCCAAUUCGCUGGCAGGUCGCGGAGGGACUUGAUUAGACGGGUUGGCCGGGUUAUCUCCGUUUGGAGGCUGUAUCGUGACGUUUCGUUCUCCGCCCCUUGUUUGCGGAGGGGGAGUGAUUUGAUCAGAUCCAGAAGAAUUCGAGUUUUGGGAGAUGUUCUCCGUGUCAGUGUUAUGGAUAACAGCAACCUGGGCUCCGGGAGGGAGAUCCGUUGGGAGGUGCCCGUCCGUAACGUCAUCGUUUGGGAUCUGAACUGGUAAGCCAGAUCUCGAUGAAUUGGAUGAAUUGGGAUCCAAGAUCGUUGGUCACAAGUGAUGUGUUAGUGUUGGUGUUGGAAUGAUCUAUUUCCGUCCCCAUAGACGGCGCCAAAUGUGGGUUUUGAAAUCCACACUAGAGAUUUGUAUUUAAGAUUAUGAGAAAGGAGGGCUAGAUCUUCACUGAAAUCUUGAGAGUUAUAUUGCUAAGAACGAAUGGACUUUUGUAUUAAUUAUGGCAAAGCUUUUACAAUGUGAAAAGAGAUUACAAGUGUAAAAGUGUGUGUGUGCGAAUGUGAACUGGAUUGAAUGUCUCUUCCAAGUCGUCCUUGCUCCCUUAUAUAGAUCUACGCACGUGGUAGCUUCGUCCGGGAUCUGCGGAGAUCCUCCUGGAUAUUCGGCAGGUCAGUUCCGAAAUAUCAGGUCCGCUCCGCGAAUAUCUCCUCAUCAGUUCCUAGGUCAUUAUUCGCUUAUCUCCCUUCAUCAGGUGACUGGGCUUAUCUGGCCCAAGUACCCAUUCGCGUAUGUGGGCUCGUCAGCUGCGUAGGUCCUCUACUUGGUGGACUUGGUGGACUUUUGUGGGCUGGCUUGGUAUUUUCGCAGGUGGAUUCCUGGACGAGAAUCCAGCUCCAACAGAUGCAAUCGUUAAUAGACAGAAUUUUAAUGGAUAUAGAUUCUAUUUGUCCAAAUAUCAAAAUGGAUAUUAUUAGACUGGGUUAAUGGACAUAGACAGCCCGCUUUGACAGCUCAUUUUCAAGAAGAAAAGUUUAUAGUAUGCAUAACAUGUUAGGAUAUGCAUAUUUUCAUAUA